rnacentral:rRNA from 1 species
CACGCCCUAAACGAUGGAUACUAGGCGUAAGAGGUAUCGACCCCUCUUGUGCCGCAGCUAACGCAUUAAGUAUCCCGCCUGGGGANCGAAGAACCUUACCCAGACUUGACAUCGAUCGCAAGCCUUAGAAAUAGGGCCCUCCUUCCAAAAGAAGGACGUGAAGACACUUGU